AGUGAACGCUGGCGGUAGGCCUAACACAUGCAAGUCGAACGGCAGCACAGUAAGAGCUUGCUCUUACGGGUGGCGAGUGGCGGACGGGUGAGGAAUACACCGGAAUCUACUUUUUCGUGGGGGAUAACGUAGGGAAACUUACGCUAAUACCGCAUACGACCUACGGGUGAAAGCAGGGGAUCUUCGGACCUUGCGCGAUUGAAUGAGCCGAUGUCGGAUUAGCUAGUUGGCGGGUUAAGGGCCCACCAAGGCGACGAUCCGUAGCUGGUCUGAGAGGAUGAUCAGCCACACUGGAACUGAGACACGGUCCAGACUCCUACGGGAGGCAGCAGUGGGGAAUAUUGGACAAUGGGCGCAAGCCUGAUCCAGCCAUACCGCGUGGGUGAAGAAGGCCUUCGGGUUGUAAAGCCCUUUUGUUGGGAAAGAAAAGCAGCAGGUUAAUACCCCGCUGUUCUGACGGUACCCAAAGAAUAAGCACCGGCUAACUUCGUG
rnacentral:rRNA from 1 species